GAUCUUUCAUAGGGAAGGGACUGAAGAUACAUUUUUGGAGCGCAUUUACCAAGUGUGACAUUGCUGACUAUUUGGCUGUGACAACUGAAGGAAGGAG
rnacentral:lncRNA from 1 species